rnacentral:lncRNA from 1 species
UAUUUGGGCCCAUCUGACAAUGUACAUAAAAAUACAAGAAUUUACCAAAUAAUUUUAAAAAAUUUUAUAGAAAAAAAAUUUUCACUAUGUUGCCCAGGCUGGUCUCGAACUCCUGAGCUCAAGUGAUCCACCCGCUUUGGCCUCCCAAAGUGCUGGGAUUACAGGUAUGAGUCACCACGCCCAGCCCCUUACCGGGUCAUUUCACUGCUAACAGUUUAUCUUUAGGAUCCAGUUAUUUUUCCUCUUCCCCUUUUCUCUUUCUUCUCUUCUUUCUCCUUUUUAAUAACAGCUUUAUUAAGAUAUGAUUCACAUACCAUAAAAUCCACCAUUUUAAAGUAUACAAUUUAGUGUUUUUUAGUAUAUACACAGAAUUGUGCAACAAUCACCACUAUCUAAUUCCAGAACAUAUUCUUCACCCCCAAAAGAAACUGUCUCAGGCUCAGCAUGAUGGCUCAAGCCUACAAUCCCAGCACUUUGGGGGGCUGACAUGGGAGCAUUGCUUGAGGUUGAGAGUUUAAGACCACCCUGAACAACGUAGUGAGACCUCGACUCUACAAAAUUAAAAAAAAAAUUUUUUUAGCCAGGCAUGGUGGUACAUGACUGUAGUCCCAGCUACUCUGGCGGCUGAGGUGGGAGGAUCACUUGAGUGUUUAGAGACAAAAAUUACCAAGUACAGGGACCAUCUUUUCAUCAACUGAAAUUUUAACUGUAAAUAAGAAAAAAAAAACUUCAAAAAUGUGUGUUCAUAUUUAUAUUCAAACCUGAAAAAGAACCAAACAUUUUCUGUAAUUUCAGAUAGCAAUACAUUGUUUAAGUUCCUACUUUAGUUUGGGUGCAGAAAUAUUAUCCAUUAAGUUUUACUUUUUUUGCCAUCAAAAUGUAUUAAAUGGCCAGGUGAGGAUCACUUGAGCACAACAGGUCAAGGCUGCAGUGAUUGCACCACCGCACUCCAGCCUUGGCAACAGAGCAAGACCCUAUCCCAAAAUAAAUAAAUAAAUAAAUAAAUAAAUAAAUAAAUAAAUAAAUGUAGGAAGAAUUAAAAAAAACAUAUUUUGUAGAAAACAUUUUUAUAGGGGCUGAAAAUGAAGCCAAGAAAAUCAAGUUAGUUUCCUCUGAAAUAUUUUUAGAUAAGAAAAAGGUCAUAUCUGAGGGAUGUAAUUCCAUAGUAACAUAUACAGAGGAAAGCCUGGUAGAAAAAUUAGCAAUGGAUUUUAUGAAAGAAUAUAGUAGUGCAAAUAAUAAAAUGAAGCAUUAAUCUAGCAACAGACAUAAGAUCGUUACAGAGUGAUGGUGUCACUUCAGGCAGGAGAAGGAAAUAAAGGGCAUUCAAUUAGGAAAAGAGGAAGUCAAAUUGUCCCUGUUUGCAGAUGACAUGAUUAUAUAUCUAGAAAACCCCAUUGUCUCAGCCCAAAAUCUCCUGAAGCUGAUAAACAACUUCAGCAAAGUCUCAGGAUACCAAAUCAAUGUACAAAAAUCACAAGCAUUCUUAUACACCAAUAACAGACAAACAGAGAGCCAAAUCAUGAGUGAACUCCCAUUCACAAUUACUUCAAAGAGAAUAAAAUACCUAGGAAUCCACCUUACAAGGGACUUGAAGGACCUCUUCAAGGAGAACUACAAACCACUGCUCAAGGAAAUAAAAGAGGAUACAAACAAAUGGAAGAACAUUCCAUGCUCAUGGGUAGGAAGAAUCAAUAUCGUGCAAAUGGCCAU